rnacentral:rRNA from 1 species
GCGACCCCAGGUCAGGUGGGAUUACCCGUUGAGUUUAAGCAUAUCGAUCAUAGGAGGAAAAGAAACUUACAAGGAUUCCCUUAGUAACGGCGAGCGAAUCAGGAACAGCCCAGCCUUAGAAUCGGGCGGCUCCGUCGUCCGAAUUGUAGUCUGGAGAAGCGUCCUCAGCGGCGGACCGGGCCCAAGUCCCCUGGAAGGGGGCGCCGAAGAGGGUGAGAGCCCCGUCGUGCCCGGACCCUAUCACACCACGAGGUGCUGUCUACGAGUCGGGUUGUUUGGGAAUACAACCCAAAUCGGGCGGUGAAUUCCAUCCAAGGCUAAAUACGGGCGAGAGACCGAUAGCGAACAAGUACCGCGAGGGAAAGAUGAAAAGGACUUUGAAAAGAGAGUCAAAUAGCGCUAGAAAUUGUCGGGAGGAAAGCGGAUGGGGGCCGGCGAUGCGCCCCAUUCGUAUGUGGAACGGCGACGAGCUGGUACGCCGAUCGAACCGGGGUGUGGAACAGCGUGGAUUGGGGGGGCGGCCAAAGCCCGGGCUCUUGAUACGCUCGUGGAAUUCCGUCUCCUCGAAUGUGGAAGGCAGCACGCGCCUCCGGCAUGCUUCGGCAUAUGCGCGCUCCGGAUGCUGGCCUGUGGGCACCCCAUUCGACCCGUCUUGAAACACGGACCAAGGAGUCUGAUAUGUGUGCGAGUCAACGGGCGAGUAAACCCGUAAGGCGCAAGGAAGCUGAUUGGUGGGAUCCCCCCGAGGGGUGCACCGCCGACCGACCUUGAUCUUCUGAGAAGGGUUCGAGUGUGAGCAUACCUGUCGGGACCCGAAAGAUGGUGAACUAUGCCUGAGCGGGGCGAAUCCAGAGGAAACUCUGGUGGAGACCCGCAGCGAUACUGACGUGAAAAUCGUUCGUCUGACUUGGGUAUAGGGGCGAAAGACUAAUUGAACCGUCUAGUAGCUGGUUCCCUCCGAAGUUUCCCUCAGGAUAGCUGGAGCUCGCGUGCGAGUUCUAUCGGGUAAAGCCAAUGAUUAGAGGCCUCGGGGACGCAACGCCAUCGAACUAUUCUCAAACUUUAAAUAGGUAUGACGGCGCAAUUGCUUAAUUGAGCCGCGCCACGGAAUCAAGAGCUCCGAGUGGGCCAUUUUAGGUAAGCAGAACUGGCCAUGCAGGAUGAACCGGAAGCCGGGUUACUGUGCCAAAAUGCGCGCUAACCUAGAUCCCACAAAGGGUGUUGGUCGAUUAAGACAGCAGGACGGUGGUCAUGGAAGUCGAAAUCCGCUAAGGAGUGUGUAACAACUCACCUGCCGAAUCAACUAGCCCCGAAAAUGGAUGGCGCUUAAGCGCGCGACCUACACCCGGCCGUCGGGGCAAGUGCCAGGCCCCGAUGAGUAGGAGGGCGCGGCGGUCGCUGCAAAACCUUGGGCGCGAGCCCGGGCGNUGCCAUGGCACCGUGGCGCCAUGGCACCAAGGAACCAAGGCACCAUGGCACCAUGGCACCAUGGCACCAAGAAAGCAAGGCACCGCGGCACCAUGGCACCGGGGCAUCGUGGCACCAAGGCACCAACGGACCAAGGCACUGUCGUGGUGCCAUUGUACCGUGGCACCAUGGCACCAAGGCACCAAGGCACCAUGGCACCAUGGCACCAAGGCACCGUGGCACCGUGGCACCAAUGCACCAAGGCACCAUAGCACCGUGGUACCAAGGCAGCAUGGCGCCAUGGCACCAAGGCACCGUGGCGCCGUGGCACCGUGGCACCAAGGCACCAUGGCACCAAGGCACUAACGCACCGUGGCAAAAUCAAAAGAGCGUAAACCUACGUUCGAUCAUCCUAAUAUUUUCCUGACGUUAAUCCAUCCUCCUCACCGUUGCAUACUCAUUUUUCUACAUAUCCGCUCAAAUUUUUUUAUUUUAAAUAUAUUUCAAUGUUACCUCAUAUGUCGUGGCGGUUUUCGUAAUGUCCCGUCGCCUUCUUUUCAAAUUUUUAUUUAAUAUCCUUAAAUUUAAAUAUUUUAUAUCGUUAUGUCAUUCGUACAAAUGCGCACUCAAUUGUUGGUUUAAGGCUACUUCAUUCUAAUAUGCAUAUUUUGGGGUUGUCACUUAUCCGUUGCAUUCUUGGCGAUUUUCCUAAUGACCCCACGUUAUUUUUAUAUUUUUUUAAAAUUUUUAUUUAAUAUCCUUAAAUUUAAAUAUUUUAUAUCAUUACAUUAUACGUACAAAUAUGCACUCGAUUGUUGGUUUAAGGUUAGUUCAUGCGCUGAGAAUAUUUUCCUAAUUUUUUCAUAUUUUUAUAAAUAUUUUUUCUAUUUUUGAUUUAUUUUUACAUAUUUUUUGAAUUUUAAUAAAUGAUAUUUGUAAAAAAAUAUUUUCUCAACGAAAAUUAUAAUUUACAAAUUACGCGACCUUUUUGUGAGUGCACAGGCUCCGUAUCUCAUCAAAACGUGCAGUUCGGGUCCGCAUAUGUCUGGUAUGAUUCUCUGGCAAAAUCAUGUCUACUAAUGUCAGUUGGAUUUUUUUUUUAAUCAUACAUAAGGGGGGUAGAGGUGUUGAAGGCACUUCAAGGCAACUGUCGGUAGUUGGCAUAGGCGCUCAGUGUCCAUGUCGGCGAGCAGCGUGGGCGCAUGGCAGCAUGCAUGGCUAGUCCGUACGAGCCAUCCGUGCCCGUGUAGCAACGUCGGCAGCGCUUCAUUGUACGCGUCUUGCUCGAAGUCGGUUUCCUGUGCUGCAUACCUAAUGCCCAGGCAUUAUCAAGUUUUAUCGAUCGCCCUUUGCCCCUCGCAUUACGUGCGUGGGGCGAAUCGAAAGGCCGCUCUCGCGUCCCACGACUCCCUCGCUUCGUCGUGCGAUGUCGUGGUCCGCAAGCGGCGGUCCGGAUUCUCGAAUGCGGCAGACGCAGUGGGCAUGGGGACUUCAUCGGCUCCUAUCUGCCCCGUACGAUGCUCCUUGUAAACGACGGUCGCGCUCACCUUGAAUCCAUCUGCGCCCCCGCGGGCAGGCCGGGCUCAUGCGACGCCGACGUCGAUGAGGAAUGCUACCUGCUUGAUCCUGCCAGUAGUCAUAUGCUUGUCUCAAAGAUUAAGCCAUGCAUGUGUAAGUAUGAACAAAUUCAGACUGUGAAACUGCGAAUGGCUC